GGGAUGGAAGGCUUAUAAGUGAAUGUUCCAAUAUUGGGCAAUCGCGUAUCGUGAGCUUUACAAGUGAAGAAAGGCGUCUAGGUAAUUUCCUAAUUAACUUGGGACAAUUCAAUAAAGUAAGUUCUGAGAGACAAGGAAACAUAUUGUCGGCUUGUUCAUUGUCUCCAUUAGAAGACCACAAUUCCCAUCCCAACAUAUCCUCAAAUUUCAGUGUCUCUAAAGAU
rnacentral:misc_RNA from 1 species